ACGAACGCUGGCGGCGUGCUUAAUACAUGCAAGUCAACUUGACUUUAGAUAGCAAUAUCGAAAAGUAGGGUGGCGCACGGGGUGCGUAACGCGUAGGUAAUCUGCCCUGAGGUCUGACAUAACCCGUCGAAAGGCGGGCUAAACAUCAGAUGAUAUAUAAUCACGACAUCGUGGAAAUAUCAAAUCUUCGGAGCCUUGGGAUGAGCCUGCGUCUGAUUAGGUAGUUGGCGGAGUAAUAGCCCACCAAGCCUACGAUCAGUAGCUGGUCUGAGAGGAUGAUCAGCCACACUGGAACUGAGACACGGUCCAGACUCCUACGGGAGGCAGCAGUAAGGAAUAUUGCUCAAUGGGGGAAACCCUGAAGCAGCAACGCCGCGUGAAGGAUGAAAUACUUUGUAUGUAAACUUCUGUAAGAUGGGAAAAAUAUUCUCCUCGGGAGAAUUGAUUGUACCAUCAGAGUAAGCCCCGGCUAACUACGUG
rnacentral:rRNA from 1 species